GCCGUAAAAGCCGGAAUAGCUC
rnacentral:tRNA from 1 species